rnacentral:tRNA from 1 species
GUUUUGGUAGUUUAGUUAAAACUUUGGUCUUGUAAAUCAAAAAUGAUUUUAAAAUCCUAAAACA